CCUACGGGAGGCAGCAGGUAGGGGUAAUUUUGGACAAUGGGCGCAAGCCUGAUCCAGCAAUGCCGCGUGAGUGAAGAAGGCCUUCGGGUUGUAAAGCUCUUUUGUCAGGGAAGAAACGGUGAAGGCUAAUAUCUUUUGCUAAUGACGGUACCUGAAGAAUAAGCACCGGCUAACUACGUGCCAGCAGCCGCGGUAAUACGUAGGGUGCAAGCGUUAAUCGGAAUUACUGGGCGUAAAGCGUGCGCAGGCGGUUUUGUAAGUUUGUCGUGAAAUCCCCGGGCUCAACCUGGGAAUGGCGAUGAAGACUGCAAGGCUAGAAUCUGGCAGAGGGGGGUAGAAUUCCACGUGUAGCAGUGAAAUGCGUAGAGAUGUGGAGGAACACCGAUGGCGAAGGCAGCCCCCUGGGUCAAGAUUGACGCUCAUGCACGAAAGCGUGGGGAGCAAACAGGAUUAGAUACCCUGGUAGUCCACGCCCUAAACGAUGUCUACUAGUUGUCGGGUUUUAAUUAACUUGGUAACGCAGCUAACGCGUGAAGUAGACCGCCUGGGGAGUACGGUCGCAAGGAUUAAAACCGUAGAAAGAUGACGNNGAGAGNGACGACGACGACACGAGGAGGAGG
rnacentral:rRNA from 1 species